rnacentral:misc_RNA from 1 species
AACAAGGCGUACCUGCGGACCUGCGGAGGGAUCAUUACCGAGUGUGGUCCCAUAAGGGGCGCCUCCCGUCCUUUGCAGGGCCUUUAGGGGCUUUUUGACUUUGCUUCGGCGGGCUUGCCCCGCCGGAACACCCUCAAGAAAAUCUUUAUGAACCGUUUGUCUGAGUUGCUUGCGAAUAGAACAAAACUUUCAACAACGGAUCU